AGUAAAGGAGACAGCACAAGGACCAAACGAAAGAUACUCGGCACGGGGCGUCUCCAACAAAUUUCAAAUCUAGGCCACGUGGGAAUGCGUUCACCCCAUACCUGGUCGGGUUCAUCCUUCUCUGCCGCCGGAUCGAUGGGCGGACGGAUGGCGACGCACGAAUAGGGAAGGGCUGAUGUGGCCUGGCUGUUCGUCCCCCCCUCCCUGCAUGGCGGCGGACAUUCAAGACCCGAAACAGCCGAAUAAUCUAUUUCCAAGCACACAACCACAUGGAAAGGAGCAGUUACAAAGACAACCUCUACCCUUCUCGGCUGCGUGUUCCCUCUCUCUCUACUGGCAUGUGGCGCCCUCUCGAACAG